UACGUAGGGUGCGAGCGUUGUCCGGAAUUAUUGGGCGUAAAGGGCUCGUAGGCGGUCUGUCGCGUCGGGAGUGAAAACUCAGGGCUUAACCCUGAGCCUGCUUCCGAUACGGGCAGACUAGAGGUAUGCAGGGGAGAACGGAAUUCCUGGUGUAGCGGUGAAAUGCGCAGAUAUCAGGAGGAACACCGGUGGCGAAGGCGGUUCUCUGGGCAUGAUCUGACGCUGAGGAGCGAAAGUGUGGGGAGCGAACAGG
rnacentral:rRNA from 1 species